rnacentral:rRNA from 1 species
GUAGGCUGAAACUCGCCUACAUGAAGCUGGAAUUGCUAGUAAUCACAGGUCAGCAUACCGUGGUGAAUACGUUCCCGGGCCUUGUACACACCGCCCGUCACACCAUGAGAGUUGAGAAUACCCGAAGCCCAUGUCAAAGUGGUCGAAGGUAGGCUUGAUGAUUGGGGUGAAGUCGUAACAAGGUAAC